rnacentral:lncRNA from 1 species
CCUUUUCUAUCCCCAAAAAGCCCUUGGCCAGCCCCUAAAGUUAAUGUUUUACCAACUGAACCCAAUCCCUCACCCUGGUUAGAAAUUUUAACCCAAGUUAAUCUUAGUGAAUCUAAAUCAGCUAUACUAAUCAACAAACUAAAAUUUAACUCUAAUCCAAACCAAUUAACACUAUCAUUGAACUGAUGGUUAACAAACACAAUUAUAAACUGAACUCAAUCCCAGCCGAAUCCAGAAGAACAAAGCAGACCAGAAUAAACAAACUAAAAUCUUAUUUAAACAGAUUAAAAGAAAUUGAAACUUAAUACUACUAGGCUAAAAAACUCUAUCAACAUAUAAAACUAAACUAGUUACCAUAAUCAGGGUCAAAUUCCCAAGUCAAUGAACAAAACAGAGGAGAAGCCUAAUUAAGCUAACAACUAAAUGAACCCAUUAAGACUUAGCAUUCAGAUUUAAAAAACCCAAAAACAAAUCAGAUAUUAAAUAAAAGAAAGCUGAAAAAGUUUAACAUAAACUUCUACAACAAUCAAGAGAUGAAUUGUUGUUGAAC